rnacentral:ncRNA from 1 species
AUAGUGGACAGAUUUGGCUGAUUGCAACCACUAAUUAAAAAAAUGCUAAAAU